UACGUAGGGACCAAGCGUUGUUCGGAUUCAUUGGGCGUAAAGGGUGCGUAGGUGGCGGGGUUAGUCAGGUGUGAAAUCUCGAGGCUCAACCUUGAAACUGCACUUGAUACUGCCUUGCUUGAGUACUGGAGAGGAGAUUGGAAUUUACGGUGUAGCAGUGAAAUGCGUAGAUAUCGUAAGGAAGACCAGUGGCGAAGGCGAAUCUCUGGACAGUUACUGACACUGAGGCACGAAGGCCAGGGGAGCAGACGGG
rnacentral:rRNA from 1 species